rnacentral:rRNA from 1 species
UACGGCGGGUGCAAGCGUUGCCCGGAAUUAUUGGGCGUAAAGAGCUCGUAGGCGGGUUGUCACGUCUGCUGUGAAAUUUCAUGGGUCAACCUCGAACUUGCAGUGGGUACGGGCAGACUAGAGUGCGGUAGGGGAGAUGGGAAUUCCUGGUGUAGCUGUGGAAUGCUCAGAUAUCAGGAGGAACACCAAUGGCGAAGGCCCAUCUCUGGGCAGUACCUGACGCUGAGGGGUGAAAGCGUGGGGAGCAACCAGG